AACGCCUCUUCCCCUCAUCUCUUUCUCUUCUAUUUCGUGUAAACCCUAGCGCUGCCUUAGCUUUCCUUUGCCACAUUCUUCCAAAAAUGGCAUGUUUACAGGGCUGGGCUGACGAGUACAACUAUUAUAUGCUUUUUAUAGUGAAAGCAUUAAAAUUUUUACUCAAUUUUAUCUGUUUUUACACGAAUAUGGGUUGGAAGCACAAAAUCUCCCAAAUUCGUUCUUCUCUUGGCUGCGCAUACAAAAGUUGACUAAGCUCGGGAGGGGACUCGAGGAUUUGGUUGAGGCGUAAAUAAGCCCUCAUUUUUUUGUCAGGUUUAGUGUAUAACUAGGAUGCUAGGACGUCAGCUGGGAUUGGCAGGCUCCACCUCAUUCUAGAGCUAUGCUAAGUCAUGUAUAGAUAUGUAUGAUUAUGGGUAUGUCAGGGCCCUGUCCUGACUCAUAAUGUUCAGUUUACUUCUUAGAGACUUCUGCAGACAGUGUCCUGUGGUAUGUUUGUCGAGAUGUCAGUUGAG